UACGUAGGUGGCAAGCGUUGUCCGGAAUUAUUGGGCGUAAAGCGCGCGCAGGUGGUUCUUUAAGUCUGAUGUGAAAGCCCACGGCUCAACCGUGGAGGGUCAUUGGAAACUGGGGGACUUGAGUGCAGAAGAGGAAAGUGGAAUUCCAAGUGUAGCGGUGAAAUGCGUAGAGAUUUGGAGGAACACCAGUGGCGAAGGCGACUUUCUGGUCUGUAACUGACACUGAGGCGCGAAAGCGUGGGGAGCAAACAGG
rnacentral:rRNA from 1 species